GGGCCCGUAGCUCAGUGGUAGAGCAUCUGACUUUUAAUCAGGAGGUCGUGCGUUCGAUCCGCACCGGGCUCACCA
rnacentral:tRNA from 1 species